rnacentral:tRNA from 1 species
GUCCUUUUAGUAUUAAUCAGUACAACUGACUUCCAAUCA